GAUCAUCAAAGCGGCCCAAAUGCCGGGAGAAUUUGAAGGGAAUGUGUGUGUAGGGGGGUCGCGUUUAGGGGAGAGGCGGGAGGCGCGCUCCUCGCAGGGACCGACUGCGGCAGGGUGGAGCGAGACCAGGAGGGAAGUCUCACUUGUGUGCGCGUGUAAGGCAGAUACCCAGGGCACUGUGACGUCCCUUAGCAGGACUGGACGAGGCCUCCGAGCUGCUCCAGGCCGGUCAGAAGCCGGCGGACAGCCGCGCAGCGGGCAAGGAUGCUCUGUGCAGCGGCUGGAGGGUGAAGCGGCGCGCUACGAGCUGUCCGGCCCCCGGAAAUGCGGGAGUCGUUUCCCCUCCCGGAGUUGCCCCCUUUCCCCUCCGCCCCUUUCCAAACAGUUAAAAAAUACUUCGUCCCCCUUCCCUCCGUAGACAUAAACCCUCCAGCACAGCUGAUCUUCCUCAGGGAUGGGGCUGUUGAGGCCUCGAGCCGGGGUCCUGGACCAGCCUGAAGGCGGCUCCAGGCUCUUCCUCUCCGAGAGAGCCCCGGGCUCCGACAGGCCAGGAGUCCUGUGCAUCCUGGAGACUCGUUAGCGCGCUGCCUCGCGCAGGGAUCUGGAGCGUAGCAGUUGUGCCGGGUGGAGGGAAUGGGUUCUCUCGGGUCAACAGAGCCAGAAAAGACAGUCAGUGCCCCGGGUCCAGAGUCAGCCUCCACGGGCACACGCCACAAGCCUCCUUUCCGGAUCAUCUCCGCUUGGCAUCCAUCACCAGUCGCUGUUCCAAAUCCAGGCGCGUGGGUAGGUCUCGCGGGCAGGGAGAACGCAAGGCAGCUGUGGAAGAGAACACUGCGAGCCGCAGGCGCAGCGUCAGACAGCGUUUCCUUAAAGCUACCGGAAUAACCGAGAGGUUUCCCGCGCUCUGUGGACCCGCAGUGCAAAUGCAGGCCCAGCUGUUGUGCUGUCCGUUGCCCAGUUUACUGUUCCCUGCGUACACUCCUCAGGCCUCGCAACUGGUUCAGGUUCGCCCUGCAAGGCUCAAGUCUCAGAAGCAGCUCGAAGGCCUCCUUCUGUUCCCUGUGGCUUUGCAUUUGAGCUCAUCCUCGGCACUCCUUCCUGCGAAAUCCGCGUGCACACAACGCACUCACCCUCCUGCUGCCUUAACAAAGGCUUCCCUCUCUGGCGCUACUGCUACGCCCACCUCAUCGCGGGGACAACCAGGCCGCCUGGUCCUGCCACACCUGAGGAGGGCAGACUGGGCCGUCCCUUCCUACGCGCCAGGCCCUAUUGGCUAACUCAGACGCAGGCGGGAGCUUCCCACGGAGCGACCAGAUGUUGGCCCCGGGAUUUGGAAGGCAAGAAGAACCCCCAGUGAACUCGCUGUCAUCUCGGCGUCUCGACCUGAAAAAGCUCUUAAAGCUGCCGUCGGUGUCCCGGCCGGGGGCGACAGUCCUGGCAAAUUGCGACAGGGAGCAGGAAAUGUGCUUAGGUCUCACUCUGUCGAGUUUUCCAAAUUAGUUCCCAAGAAGUUGAGAAUGGGUCUGUAGGAAAACACACACACACACACACACACACACACACACACACACACACACACACACAGGCCGAGCCCUCGCCCCGCCGGUGCUCCAGGGUUAUCAUGCGCUCGGCCUGCGCGGCGGUCUGGGGCCUGGCCCUGACAGCCAGAUCUACCAUCAAUUUACCUUCCGCCGCCCCAGCUUCCCAUUUAGCUUUUAACGUCAAAUCCUGCAUUUUUGUCGGCUCCGGCCUGUCUAGAGAGCUUGUGAUUUCGCUGCAGGAGUGAUUGCUUUUAACAAAAUGGCAGCAACCACAUUAUCCGAGCAAUUAAAGCAGAAGCCUUUUAGGCGGUCCCGCAAGGCAAGAGCUUGGAAACUUUUUUUUUUAAAGCGAAGGCGAAAGGGAGUUAAAAAGAAAGAAAUGCGUAGAAGAGAAAAGCAUGGAAGCGCGGAAGAAACCCCUGCCAGCCCACCACUCACUUCCCUGGGACUUGACCACGCGGGGCAGAGAUGUUGGGUGCCCGGGAGCAUUGGGAAGGUUGGGAUGUAGGGGCGGCUGGAGUGACAGGAAAUCUGGUGUGUCUUGCCGGUUGAAGUGUCUGGCCAGUUGGGGUGUGCGUCCGUUAGGGUGUUUAGCCCCCUGGCGUGUCCGGUCUGCUGGCUAUCUGCCCAGCUGGGGUUUCCAGCGGGUUGGGAAGUCGAGGUGGUUAGGCUGUCGGAGCCUGGUGCUGCGGGCCGAGCAGGCGGCGCGGCAGGGAGAGGAGGCCGGCGGCUCCCGGCUCAGGCCAGACAAAGAGGACGGGUUUC
rnacentral:lncRNA from 1 species